UAGUUUUGUCUAUGUGUUAUUUGUUGUGUCGUAGUUUUCUGCCCUGUAUGCUGGUUAGCCUCUCUCAGAAUUGGGUGCUUGACAGACGGUGGCAGAUCCUACAGAACUGAGUCUUUGUGAUUUCUGCUUUUGGAUGUUUGUGGUUUGAGGUGCUUUGGAAUAUAUUACUAUAAUUCCAGGCAGCUCAAGAGUUUUGUGGUUUGCCUUCCAAGGAUAAUAUACUACUAUAAUUCGUGAAAUUUUUGCUUUCUGCUUAUAUUCUGAGAUGAUUGCACUUGUUCCAAGGUACAAAUCAUCGUUCUUUCUUGUUAGAACUAACAAGUGCAUCCUUCUUGCACUUUCUACAAUUUAAAAGCCUAAAAGGGGUGGAUCUCUGAUUAUUUCAUCA